GCCGACUAAAGAGUUGCUGGGACAACUAGGUGGCUGUAAACCACUGGCCUCUGGAUAUGUGGUUCGAUUCCAUUAGGCGGCACCA
rnacentral:tRNA from 1 species